UUAAUUGAAUUCGAUUAACGAUUUUUGCAAUUAAUCGGAAAAGUGUAAUAAAGAAAUUCAAUUUCAUAACUCAUUAUCAUAAUAAAAGUGUUUAUAUCUUCUUGCUCCUUAUAAGAUUGAUUUCUUGUCAUAGAUUUCAAUAAAAAAAAUAUUUUAAAUCCCAACGUUCAUAAUAGUAUUCUAUCACCAUGAUCUUUUGGGCUACGAUGACAUAUGCCAUUAUAGAGAUGGCAAUGUCUUUCCUCAUGUCCAUCUCAUAAUUAUAGACAGAACGACCCUUUCAUUUCGAUUGUGAGAUGUAAACUCAAAUGAUAUUCAAAACUUUUGGCAUUUAUGAGAAAUUUUAUUGAAUCACAUCUUUUCACUGGAUUGUAGAUUUUUAAUCAGAUAAUGUUAUUGUGUGAAAUUAAUUGAAUAAAUGAAAAUGGAACUUUA